rnacentral:rRNA from 1 species
UACGUAGGGGCCGAGCGUUGUCCGGAGUUAUUGGGCGUAAAGGGCGCGUAGGCGGCCAUUCAAGUGACGGGUGAAAGCCCUCGGCUUAACCGAGGAACUGCCUGUCAGACUGGAUGGCUUGAGACCGGGAGAGGUGAGUGGAAUUCCCAGUGUAGCGGUGAAAUGCGUAGAUAUUGGGAGGAACACCAGUGGCGAAGGCGGCUCACUGGACCGGAACUGACGCUGAGGCGCGAAAGCGUGGGGAGCAAACAGG